AUGAACUUAAAGGGGUACUCCGGUUGCCAAUGUGUUUUUUCAGUUUCUACUUUCUACUUACCCUUGCAGGGGUGUGGAAAAGGGGCAAAACCAUUGCAGGAGAACAAAAACAGCAACGCCUGCAGCACUGACGUCUUGUCGACAACAGUGAACAAACUACUGAACUUCAGUCACAUAAAAGAGGGAACACUUUACAGACUUUCAGGGUACCUAAAGUUUAAAAGAAAAAAUCCGACUUCCGGUUCCGGUGCCAUGGUAUAAGGUCGCACGGAACACCAGCUCCCGGCCCUCC